UCAUAUAUAAUUUUAUAUCAUAUCAUAUUCUAUUAUAUGAAGAUGCUAUACUAAAACUACACUAAAGAAAGAGAAAGGAGACAUCAGAAGUCUGGACAAGAAUGAUAAAAACCCGUGACAGACUCAGAGCCUGACCCAGCUGGCUGUGAUUGGCCACUAAUUAAAACCAAUUCCCAUGCUGGGUGAGCAAUUCUCCAAAUCACAUUCCAGAGCAGCAAAACAGGGAGAAGCUGAAGCUUCUCAUCUUGCCAGGAGGCGAGAUCUGGCGAGGGGAUUUUUCAGAGGACGUGCUGGUGACAGACCUGGGGGCCCAGAAAUGUCCCCAGACAUCCCCCGAGGUGCUGGUGCUGAGGGGGCACAGCAGCAUCCCGCAGCCUGCACAACUCCUGUUUCUCAUUUUCUCAUUCCCAGCUCCUCUCUGAGCUCCAGGAACAGGCACUUCUUCUUUUUGGCACUCCUCUGUUCCUAACUCAGCUCCGGGGAGGAGUUCCAGCUUUCAUUUGUGGGGCAGGCCACCAGCCCAGCCUGCUGCUGGCUGCCCCUCAACCCAGCUGGAGCCUUUGAAGUCCCAGGGCUGCCACCACAUCAGGAGCACCUAAAGCAGAAUGGAUCCUUUCAUAUAUUUCAUCUCCAAACUGCACCAAAAGUGAUUUUCUGUGUGGUUAAAUGAUGUUUGUAACCAGGCUGUUCAUCUGGGCCUGCCCGCAGAGCUGGCAAUUAUUUAGCUUUAAAUGCAAAGUUCUUUUCUCUGC